GCGCUCGUAGCUUAAUGGAUAGAGCACUGGUCUUCGGAACCAGGGAUUGCAGGUUCGAGUCCUGCCGGGCGCACCA
rnacentral:tRNA from 1 species